rnacentral:miRNA from 1 species
GGAAUGGCCCUUUCACCUUCCCU